rnacentral:misc_RNA from 1 species
UCUCCGUUGGUGAACCAGCGGAGGGAUCAUUACCGAGUUUACAACUCCCAAACCCUAUGUGAACGUUACCUUUUGUUGCUUCGGCGGGAUCGCCCUGGCGCUUUACGGCGCCGGAUUUCAACGCCCGCCGGAGGCCCAAAACUCUUUUUUAUUUAUGUUUCUGCACCGAGUGGCACAAGCAAAAUAAAUCAAAACUUUCAACAACGGAUCUCUUGGUUCUG